rnacentral:sRNA from 1 species
UGCUGUAUGACCAAUUUCGUGACAGU